rnacentral:rRNA from 1 species
GUGCCAGCCGCCGCGGUAAUACCGGCAGCACGAGUGAUGGCCGCUCUUAUUGGGCCUAAAGCGUCCGUAGCCGGCCAGUCAAGUCCGUUGGGAAAUCGGCGCGCCUAACGCGUCGGCGUCCAGCGGAAACUGACUGGCUUGGGGCCGGAAGACCUGGGGGGUACGUCCGGGGUAGGAGUGAAAGCCCGUAAUCCUGGACGGACCACCGGUGGCGAAAGCGCCUCAGGAAGACGGACCCGACGGUGAGGGGCGAAAGCCAGGGUCUCCAACCGGAUUAGAAACCCGGGUAGUCU